CCUACGGGAGGCAGCAGUGGGGAAUUUUGGACAAUGGACGCAAGUCUGAUCCAGCCAUGCCGCGUGCGGGAAGAAGGCCUUCGGGUUGUAAACCGCUUUUGUCAGGGAAGAAACGGGUUUCUCUAAUACAGAGACCUAAUGACGGUACCUGAAGAAUAAGCACCGGCUAACUACGUGCCAGCAGCCGCGGUAAUACGUAGGGUGCAAGCGUUAAUCGGAAUUACUGGGCGUAAAGCGUGCGCAGGCGGUUAUGCAAGACAGAGGUGAAAUCCCCGGGCUCAACCUGGGAACUGCCUUUGUGACUGCAUAGCUAGAGUACGGUAGAGGGGGAUGGAAUUCCGCGUGUAGCAGUGAAAUGCGUAGAUAUGCGGAGGAACACCGAUGGCGAAGGCAAUCCCCUGGACCUGUACUGACGCUCAUGCACGAAAGCGUGGGGAGCAAACAGGAUUAGAUACCCUGGUAGUCCACGCCCUAAACGAUGUCAACUGGUUGUUGGGAGGGUUUCUUCUCAGUAACGAAGCUAACGCGUGAAGUUGACCGCCUGGGGGAGGUACGGCCGCGAGUAGAACGUACAAUAGAAGUUAGACGGCGUGAGACGUGCCGACGGACGACGACGAGGGAGGUUAGG
rnacentral:rRNA from 1 species